AAACUAAUCUCUACGGACACAUGCAUGUUUCUGCCAGCCUCAAUCACUUUUCCGAGCAGAUGGGGGAAAGCAAAAAAUCUCGCUUAACACACACCAGACGACAGGAUAUUUUCUUAUGGACAUGCCACAAUGUGGACUCUGCUAAAGUCCAUCCAAAGAAAUCAAUGGCAGUCUAAAAGCCAGCAGUCCCAGUCCCAGUCCAAAGGACCUUUCAGCAGGUGGUGGCUGUCUUCAGGGCCAGCGGAAGCAGAUCUGGCUGGCUAAGUGGCACCUGGGUGGGAGCAGUAUCGAGCGGCGCAGUCGGCUGACUUUUACAGAUGUGUUGUGAUGUGGUUAUUGGCACAACAGGUGAGCUGUUAUUGUCUCCCUGGCCUUUUCACCCACACCAAUAAAAGAUCAUUGUUGGCGUCGACGACUGGCGUUUUUAUAAGGUCAGCCUCGCUCGGCUGGAGCUUGAACCGUGGGGCGCUCGCUCGCUCGCUCGCUCACAAAUGCAUUCCCAAGAUCGAACCGUGCGCUGCUUUCUUACUGUGUUUGAAGUCAAAUGUUGCUCCGCUCUGUGUGUAUCAUUAUUGGCCUGCAGUCUGAACGUAGCCUAGCCAGAUGAGGAAAAUAUGAGAGUUGGGUUAGGGCUUCAACAUUAUUGGGCAAAAUGCUCAGUCUACAACUAAAUAAUAGAACUGGCCUCACUGUUCAAAACAUUUGAACACCUUUUUUUUGUUAUGAAAGGAUCACCUGGCCAUUGACCAGAUUGUCUUACCUCAAAGUGAGAUCAGAGCUAUAAAGUAAAAGCUCCAUUUCAUCCCCAUCUGCUUGAAACAUAUUGGAGCGGCCAGCAGCAUUUCGCCGGAGGGUCAAAGUAAACGAUGUGUUGUGUAAAGCAUCUCUGCAGGCACCAAUGAUGCAAAGCCUUUACCACUGCGUUUGCACCUUAAAUGCCUUCCUGCUGAUGGAG